rnacentral:snRNA from 1 species
GUGCUAACUUUGGCAGCACAUAUACUAAAAUUGGAAUGGUAGAGAGAAGAUUAGCAUGGCCCUUGUGCAAAGAUGAUGUACAAAUUCAUGAAGUAUUCCAUAUUUUU